rnacentral:lncRNA from 1 species
GUUCAUACCAUAUCCAUUUAAUUAAGCCCAAAUUUACAUUUUGUAAUUGUUUUUGUAUUUGUUAAUCUUACAAUUGUAUCACUUAGUCAGGAAAUACAAUAAUUAAAAGCUCUUCCAGGAACUGAAAUGACAUCUUCAUGAAAUAUGUCACAACAUACACGUAGAUCUAGGCCCCCGAACCAACGUCAAGGUGGGAGAUUCUUAUCGGGGGAUUUUAGAACCUUAUGCUGCGGAUGAGUUUGUAAUUGUCUGAAUGAAUAAAUUUGCUUGUUUCAAAUUUGUUCAUUUUGAAAGAAGGAUAUAUAUUAUAAAUUCAUGAUAACGAUACUUCAUAAAUGUUCUAAGUGUGAGCAUACCAAAUUUCAAAAUACUUCAUACAGACAAUUCUACAGUGCAAUUUUCAAAGUACUGGUAUAAUAGUAUGAAAGGGAAUUACAGGUUGCAUUAUUUUACAAAUUCACUGGUAACAUUUCAGCUCCUAAAUGAACAUACCAAUUUCCUACCCUGUAAUUAAUUUAACAAACAGGAUUACAACAUUAAUGGAGAGUUGUGAAUGUGUUGAUGCUUUUUUAUUGUGGCUACAUGUACUAAUCGUGGUUAUUUGUAAUAUAUUUUCUCUCUUGUAACAUACUCAGGAUAGCAGAGUUGACGAACUCACAACUGCUACUGAUAUAAUACAGUUGGAACAUUCCAAGAUACUUGAAAGUGAAUGCAUGAUGAAAUACUUUUAACCUAUGUAAACGUAACUCAACCACAGCAGAAGGUGAACCCAAAGUGCGUGUUAGAAAUUUUAAAUCAAAAUACUAGUUUGUGGCUCUUUAUACAAAAAAUUAAGAUUUUCCAAGACAGAAACAAAGUCACAAUACAACAGAAAUGAUGAACUACAAAAGCGUCAGUUCGACUUGCAACCUUCUGCAGUCCAACAAAACAGUCAAACCAACAAGACACUUACAAAGUCACAGUAUACUAGUAACAGAAACAAGAGCUGUCACAGGAGACAACGUGCUCGACUAUUUCGAUACUUAAUAGUGAAACUGGGCACAUAUGAGGAAGAUGAAGCUGUCACCAGAAUGUUUAAUGACUCCAAUGUGGAUGAAGCUCUUACAAAAUAGCUUCAUUCUAUGUAAAAAUAUUCAGUGAUAAGAGAGAUAAAAAUUAAUUGUAUCAAAACACAAAUUAAAUAUAAGUCUAAUCAAAAAAGAGGCAUAAUUCAUUAAA